rnacentral:rRNA from 1 species
AACGAACGCUGGCGGCAGGCCUAACACAUGCAAGUCGAACGAUCCGUGUCCUUCGGGGCACAAUGGAUAGUGGCGCACGGGUGAGUAUCGCGUGGGAAUAUGCCCUGGAGUACGGAAUAACCAAUGGAAACGUUGGCUAAUACCGUAUACGCCCUACGGGGGAAAGAUUUAUCGCUCCAGGAUUAGCCCGCGUCUGAUUAGUUUGUUGGUGAGGUAACGGCUCACCAAGACUACGAUCAGUAGCUGGUCUGAGAGGAUGAUCAGCCACACUGGGACUGAGACACGGCCCAGACUCCUACGGGAGGCAGCAGUGGGGAAUAUUGGACAAUGGGGGCAACCCUGAUCCAGCCAUGCCGCGUGAGUGAAGAAGGCCCUCGGGUUGUAAAACUCUUUCAGCAGGGACGAUGAUGACGGUACCUGCAGAAGAAGCCCCGGCUAACUCCG